GUUUAGCCCUAUUUUCCCCUUUCCCCUGUCAAUCAAAGUCAUCUUCUUUGUGAUAUCGUCCUUUCCAAUUUUUCUGAACUGAAGUGACUCUUGCCCUGACAGAUAAUUACUUGUAUUCGCGUUUUGAGUAUUGUGACCAAAUUGUGCUGACGUGCAGUCUCAGACGUCGUCGACACAUGCAGUUUGUGACAAGGUGGCAAUUCCCACACCUCCUCUUUUAGGUUGUGUGUGUGUUGUGCCCUAUAUGUGCAUGAGUGUGUCCAGGACGGACCACUCUUAUUUCCAUUUCCCCAUCGAAGACUGGUCCCC
rnacentral:lncRNA from 1 species